CACCACCCGUCCACCCUGGGAAUUGGUUUCGCCCGAAGCAUCAGUCCAAUGAUCACCCAUGACUUCUGUGUACCACUAGUGCCACAAAGGCCUUUGGUGGUCUUAUUGGCGCAUGCCAUGGUGGGGUCUUCGACUGGGGUGAAGUCGUAACAAGGUAGCUGUAGGGAAACCUGUGGCAG
rnacentral:rRNA from 1 species